UACGGGGGGGGGCAAGCGUUGUUCGGAAUUACUGGGCGUAAAGGGUUUGUAGGUGGCCCGCUAAGUCACACGUGAAAUCCCUCAGCUUAACUGGGGAACUGCGUGUGAGACUGGCAGGCUCGAGGGCAGGAGAGGAACGCGGAAUUCCAGGUGUAGCGGUGAAAUGCGUAGAUAUCUGGAGGAACACCGGUGGCGAAGGCGGCGUUCUGGACUGUCUCUGACACUGAAGAACGAAAGCCAGGGAGCAAACGGG
rnacentral:rRNA from 1 species